AGACCCGAAACCCGGUGAUCUAGCCAUGGGCAGGUUGAAGGUUGGGUAACACUAACUGGAGGACCGAACCGACUAAUGUUGAAAAAUUAGCGGAUGACCUGUGGCUGGGGGUGAAAGGCCAAUCAAACCGGGAGAUAGCUGGUUCUCCCCGAAAGCUAUUUAGGUAGCGCCUCGUGAAUUCAUCUCCGGGGGUAGAGCACUGUUUCGGCUAGGGGGCCAUCCCGGCUUACCAACCCGAUGCAAACUGCGAAUACCGGAGAAUGUUAUCACGGGAGACACACGGCGGGUGCUAACGUCCGUCGUGAAGAGGGAAACAACCCAGACCGCCAGCUAAGGUCCCAAAGUCAUGGUUAAGUGGGAAACGAUGUGGGAAGGCCCAGACAGCCAGGAUGUUGGCUUAGAAGCAGCCAUCAUUUAAAGAAAGCGUAAUAGCUCACUGGUCGAGUCGGCCUGCGCGGAAGAUGUAACGGGGCUAAACCAUGCACCGAAGCUGCGGCAGCGACGCUUAUGCGUUGUUGGGUAGGGGAGCGUUCUGUAAGCCUGUGAAGGUGGCCUGUGAGGGUUGCUGGAGGUAUCAGAAGUGCGAAUGCUGACAUAAGUAACGAUAAAGCGGGUGAAAAGCCCGCUCGCCGGAAGACCAAGGGUUCCUGUCCAACGUUAAUCGGGGCAGGGUGAGUCGACCCCUAAGGCGAGGCCGAAAGGCGUAGUCGAUGGGAAACGGGUUAAUAUUCCCGUACUUGGUGUUACUGCGAAGGGGGGACGGAGAAGGCUA
rnacentral:rRNA from 1 species